CCACAGCUACAACCGCUCGGAACGAGUUUAAGUCGGGUAACCGCACUUGGUUUCGGCGAGUCUAAGACGAGGA
rfam:Lactobacillus coryniformis subsp. coryniformis CECT 5711 COR000005, whole genome shotgun sequence.